CCCUUGCUUUAUCCAGGCAAAUCCCUGUCGA
rnacentral:piRNA from 1 species